UUUAUACGUCGAAUUUUGGUCGCGUCGAAUGCAAUUAAGACAAUAGAUAAUCAGAUGGUAAACCUCAUUAAGCUUCAUUAUCUAUUGUUUGAAUUGCAUUCGACGCGACCGAAAUUCGACGUAUAAA